UACGUAGGGGGCGAGCGUUGUCCGGAUUUAUUGGGCGUAAAGAGCUCGUAGGCGGUUUGGUAAGUCGGGUGUGAAAUCUCCACGCUCAACGUGGAGGGGCCACUCGAUACUGCCAUGACUCGAGUCCGGUAGAGGAGUGUGGAAUUCCCGGUGUAGCGGUGAAAUGCGCAGAUAUCGGGAGGAACACCCGUAGCGAAGGCGGCACUCUGGGCCGGAAUUGACGCUGAGGAGCGAAAGCGUGGGGAGCGAACAGG
rnacentral:rRNA from 1 species